CCCCUCUCGGAGUCGCACCUGGAGACUUUCCAGUCGUCUACCAGUCUCGACUACGGGAGGGAAAGUCAAUCAGAGGCCUACCCAUUCCAUUCAUAGUUUAGGCAGUGGCUAGCGAGUGGAAGGUAAUCUGUUACAAGU